AAAGUCGGGUAUGGAUACCCGUUUGCAUGUACUUUAUGAAUAAGGAUCGGCUAACUCCGUGCCAGCAGCCGCGGUAAUACGGAGGAUCCGAGCGUUAUCCGGAUUUAUUGGGUUUAAAGGGAGCGUAGAUGGAUGUUUAAGUCAGUUGUGAAAGUUUGCGGCUCAACCGUAAAAUUGCAGUUGAUACUGGAUAUCUUGAGUGCAGUUGAGGCAGGCGGAAUUCGUGGUGUAGCGGUGAAAUGCUUAGAUAUCACGAAGAACUCCGAUUGCGAAGGCAGCCUGCUAAGCUGCAACUGACAUUGAGGCUCGAAAGUGUGGGUAUCAAACAGGAUUAGAUACCCUGGUAGUCCACACGGUAAACGAUGAAUACUCGCUGUUUGCGAUAUACAGCAAGCGGCCAAGCGAAAGCGUUAAGUAUUCCACCUGGGGAGUACGCCGGCAACGGUGAAACUCAAAGGAAUUGACGGGGGCCCGCACAAGCGGAGGAACAUGUGGUUUAAUUCGAUGAUACGCGAGGAACCUUACCCGGGCUUAAAUUGCAGAUGAAUUACGGUGAAAGCCGUAAGCCGCAAGGCAUCUGUGAAGGUGCUGCAUGGUUGUCGUCAGCUCGUGCCGUGAGGUGUCGGCUUAAGUGCCAUAACGAGCGCAACCCUUGUUGUCAGUUACUAACAGGUUCUGCUGAGGACUCUGACAAGACUGCCAUCGUAAGAUGUGAGGAAGGUGGGGAUGACGUCAAAUCAGCACGGCCCUUACGUCCGGGGCUACACACGUGUUACAAUGGGGGGUACAGAGGGCCGCUACCACGCGAGUGGAUGCCAAUCCCCAAAACCUCUCUCAGUUCGGACUGGAGUCUGCAACCCGACUCCACGAAGCUGGAUUCGCUAGUAAUCGCGCAUCAGCCACGGCGCGGUGAAUACGUUCCCGGGCCUUGUACACACCGCCCGUCAAGCCAUGGGAGCCGGGGGUACCUGAAGUGCGUAACCGCGAGGAGCGCCCUAGGGUAAAACUGGUGACUGGGGCUAAGUCGUAACAAGGUAGCCGUACCGGAAGGUGCGGCUGGAACACCU
rnacentral:rRNA from 2 species